rnacentral:rRNA from 1 species
UACGGGGGGGGCAAGCGUUGUUCGGAAUUACUGGGCGUAAAGGGCUCGUAGGCGGCCAACUAAGUCAGACGUGAAAUCCCUCGGCUUAACCGGGGAACUGCAUCUGAUACUGGAUGGCUUGAGUUCGGGAGAGGGAUGCGGAAUUCCAGGUGUAGCGGUGAAAUGCGUAGAUAUCAGGAGGAACACCGGUGGCGAAGGCGGAUCUCUGGGCCAUUACUGACGCUGAGGAGCGAAAGCGUGGGGAGCGAACAGG